UUUAUGGAGAGUUUGAUCCUGGCUCAGGAUGAACGCUGGCGGCGUGCCUAAUACAUGCAAGUCGAGCGAACAGAUAAGGAGCUUGCUCCUUUGACGUUAGCGGCGGACGGGUGAGUAACACGUGGGUAACCUACCUAUAAGACUGGAAUAACUCCGGGAAACCGGGGCUAAUGCCGGAUAACAUGUUGAACCGCAUGGUUCUACAGUGAAAGACGGUCUUGCUGUCACUUAUAGAUGGACC
rnacentral:rRNA from 1 species